AGCGGAGGAAAAGAAACUAACAAGGAUGUCCCCUAUGUAACGGCGAGCGAACCGGGAAUAGCCCAGCUUGAAAAUCUCCCUUGGAGAAUUGUAGUCUGUAGAAGCGCCCUCUGCGGCGGCCGGGCUCCAAGUCCCCUGGAAGGGGGCGUCAGAGAGGGUGAGAACCCCGUCGAGCCUUGGCUUAGCCGCCUCACGAGGUGCUUUCGAAGAGUCGGGUUGCUUGGGAAUGCAGCCCAAAGUAGGUGGUAAAUCCCAUCUAAGGCUAAAUACUGGCGAGAGACCGAUAGCGAACAAGUACCGCGAGGGAAAGAUGAAAAGAACUUUGAAAAGAGAGUUAAAAAGUGCUUGAAAUUGUUGAGGGGGAAGCGAUUGGCAGCUGCGUGUGCGCCCAGGCUUACGCCGUCCUAACGGGCGGCUGCAUGUGCUGGGCGCUGGUCAGCAUGGGUUGGCUUGGCAGGAUAACCGCGGGGGUUGUUACCCCGUCUAUGCUGCCGGGCCGACCGAGGUGUGAAGGCCGCUCUGUCCCUCGGGAUCUGCGGCCUCAAGAUGCUGGCGGAAGGCUUUCAAUCGGCCCGUCUUGAAACACGGACCAAGGAGUCUAACAUGUAUGCGAGCUGGUGGGUGGAAAACCCAUGAGGCGCAAGUAACCUGACUGGUGGGAUGGCGUAAGCCUGCACCAUCGACCGACCAUGAUCUUCUGUGAAAGGUUCGAGUACGAGCAUACCUGUUGGGACCCGAAAGAUGGUGAACUAUGCCUGAGCAGGGCGAAGCCAGAGGAAACUCUGGUGGAGGCUCGUAGAUGUGCUGACGUGCAAAUCGCUUUUCGGACUUGGGUAUAGGGGCGAAAGACUAAUCGAACCUUCUAGUA
rnacentral:rRNA from 1 species